AUUGAGCGCUGGCGGCAUGCCUUACACAUGCAAGUCGAACGGCAGCACGGGGCAACCUGGUGGCGAGUGGCGAACGGGUGAGUAAUGCAUCGGAACGUACCUUUCAGUGGGGGAUAACGUAGCGAAAGUUACGCUAAUACCGCAUAUUCUGUGAGCAGGAAAGCAGGGGAUCGCAGGACCUUGCGCUGAUUGAGCGGCCGAUGUCAGAUUAGCUAGUUGGUGAGGUAAAGGCUCACCAAGGCGACGAUCUGUAGCGGGUCUGAGAGGAUGAUCCGCCACACUGGAACUGAGACACGGUCCAGACUCCUACGGGAGGCAGCAGUGGGGAAUUUUGGACAAUGGGGGCAACCCUGAUCCAGCCAUGCCGCGUGAGUGAAGAAGGCCUUCGGGUUGUAAAGCUCUUUCGGCCGGGAAGAAAUCGCACGGGCUAAUACCCUGUGUGGAUGACGGUACCGGAAUAAGAAGCACCGGCUAACUACGUGCCAGCAGCCGCAGUAAUAC
rnacentral:rRNA from 1 species